AUCUUUGCGCUUGGGGCAAUGACGCAUCUAGCUAGUGAGGUUCUAACCGAGGCGCGUCUAUUGCUGGUUGAAAACUCUGCUAGCCUUUUAGGCCCUUACCUUUCAUGCUGAUGAAAACGUGUGUAUUUCCAAAAUCCUGAGCUUAUUAAUGCAGG